AGAUUGAACGCUGGCGGAAUGCUUUACACAUGCAAGUCGAACGGCAGCACGGGACUCAGGCAACUGAGCCCUGGUGGCGAGUGGCGAACGGGUGAGUAACAUAUCGGAACGUACCCAGUCGUGGGGGGAUAACUCUCCGAAAGGAGAGCUAGUACCGCAUACGUCCUGAGGGAGAAAGCGGGGGACCUAAGGGUAACUGAGGGCCUCGCGCGAUUGGAGCGGCCGAUAUCGGAUUAGCUAGUUGGUGAGGUAAAGGCUCACCAAGGCGACGAUCCGUAGCGGGUCUGAGAGGACGACCCGCCACACUGGAACUGAGACACGGUCCAGACUCCUACGGGAGGCAGCAGUGGGGAAUUUUGGACAAUGGGGGCAACCCUGAUCCAGCCAUUCCGCGUGAGUGAAGAAGGCCUCGGUUGUAAAGUCUCUUCUAGCAGGAACGAAACGGUAGGUCUUAAUACGGACCUAUUAAUAGACGGUACCUGCAGAAGAAGCGACCGACGUAACUACCGUGACCAGCAGCCGA
rnacentral:rRNA from 1 species